CUGCUCUGAUCGCCACCUCUAAAUCCCACCAAAACCCUAAUAAAUCGCAGCAUUCAAAGCAACAAAAUCAUGUCCGAGGUUGAGCAUGCCCGUUCGGAGAAGAAAAAACACAAGAAAAAGAACACAACCCAAUCCAUGGAAGAACCCAAUGCAAAGCUAAAAGACUCGGAUGUCGCCGCCGGCGACUUCAUGAUCAAGCCCCAGAGCUUUACUCCGGCCAUUGACACUACCCAAUGGCCUAUUCUAUUGAAAAACUAUGACCGUCUCAAUGUUCGUACCGGCCACUACACUCCUCUCCCUUCUGGUUACUCUCCUCUGAAGCGUCCUCUCACUGAGUACAUCCGUUAUGGUGUCAUGAAUCUUGAUAAGCCUGCGAAUCCAUCUUCGCACGAGGUGGUUGCUUGGAUCAAACGGAUUCUCAGGGUCGAGAAAACAGGGCAUAGUGGCAC
rnacentral:misc_RNA from 1 species